AUGGCUAGUGCAUGCACGAACCUCACUGAUGCCACGCGCCUGGUGCAGGUCCUCAAGAUCGACGGCUACAGCGCGAGUACGUCCAGUGGCGAUUGCAUCAAAUCCAGAUGGAUUGUCGAUGGUUACGAGUGGGAAAUUCAGCUGUAUCCUGCAACCUCGCAGUUCGGGAUCGCUUAUGAGUAUAACGAACCUUUGUAUCGGAAGUCGACCAAGUCCAAAUUUGUCGACGGGAAAUCGUCCUGGGAUCCGGCCUAUUGCUCAAGGUGGGUUGCAGUGAAGCUUGCGUUCCUCGGUGAACCCGGAACGAGCAAGAAGAAUUACACCGUGAAGGCGACUUUAGGCUGCCGGUUGAUAGACCAGAGGGGCGUGGUUGGACCAUCCCAAGAAAAGAGCAUGUCACAUCAAUUCUUGAGUCCUCAGGAGUCAGGAUCACCUGCACCUGCAGUAGUGCUCAUUGAGAUGCACGAUCUGGCAGAGUCCGGCUACCUCAGGGACAAUUUGGCUGUGGAAUGCGCCAUCACGGUGAAAGUGGUCGCGCCGCCGCCACCCACUAACUUGCACCAGCACCUCCGCGAACUCCUGCGGAGCGGGACGGGCGCUGACGUCACCUUCAUCGUGUCCGGCGAGUCCUUCGCUGCGCACAAGCUAAUACUUGCCUCAAGGUCACCUGUGUUCAUGGCGGAAUUCUUUGGAGCAAUGAAGGAGAAGCGCUCGCGUCGUGUAGAGGUGCAGGACAUGGAGGCGUCAGCAUUCAGGGCCAUGCUGCACUUCAUCUACACGGACACAGUGCCCGAGCUUGAUCCACGGGUCGAGCAGGUGGCGACAAUGGCCCAGCAUCUGCUUGCGGGUGCUGACAGGUACGGGUUGGAUAAGCUGAUUUGCGAAAGCAAGCUCUCCCAUGGCAUCACCGUCGAGACCGCGGCGACGACUCUCGCUCUGGCGGAACAGCACAACUGCUCGCAGCUCAAGGCCAAGUGCAUCGAGUUCAUUGUCAGCACUACUGCGGUUCUUGAUGCGGUAUUGGUGGCGACGGAGGGGUACAAGCACCUGGAGGCCAGCUGCCCUUUGGUGCUGGCAGACCUCCUCAAGUCUGCCCGUGGGAGAAAUUUGAAGCGCAGCAGGCGCUAG
rnacentral:rRNA from 1 species